GGCAGUGUGGCUUAGAGGAAAGAGCAUGAGCUUGGGAGUCAGAGGACAUGGAUUCUAAUUUCGACUCUGCCA
rnacentral:tRNA from 1 species